AUAUAAAUUCAAAUAAAUCGGACUACACGAAAAAUAGGUUUCAAAUUUUGUUUUUUUUUAACUCAGAUUACGAGUUCAAAUCGACUCAACGGAACUCAACUGCGUUAAGGUAACGAGUGAAGAACUAAAGCGAUGGCCGAUUUUCAGACCUCAACUCACCGAGCCAAGUGGAUUUUCACUCAUCAAGAACUUAAUGAAACCUAAAACCUCACAAGCUCAGCUGAUGAAAAGCUUCAAUGGCUUGCAUAGUCUCCAUAAACUUCUCAAUCCAUCUUUGUCCUCCUUCACCCAAUAAAAUUUAUCUGGGAAAAUUGGCGUCGGCCAGGUUUUCAUGAAAAGCAAUUGUUACUACAGCCAAUCCUGUUGCCGCUUGCAGCUCAGAUAGAGGGUUAUUUCAUGUGAGUCAGAGCUCUCAUUUUCAUUUAACAGCUUUCUUAUGAAAUUGUUUCUUGUUUGGAUAUAAGUUCUUGUACUCAUAUGAAAAUAACUGGUUAUUGGGUUGGACCACAUGUUGAUGAUGGUUGGGGUUUUGUAGAAGCAUUUUUUCAAACAAAUUACUUGAUUUCCCAAUGAUCAUGACUGAUUUGCAUGGUUUCUUUUUUCUGUAAGUUACUAUAUGGAUGUUGCAGAAUCACUCAGGCUAUGAUAUAAAAGCCCUUGCACUCUAUAGGAUGUCAAAAAUAUCCAAAUAUAAUUGGAUACAAGAAAUUUGGUUGGCUGGAUUUGAUUGGCAUGAGGGCACUUGUGGAUAUUACUGGUGAAAUAGGCUGUUGACUACCAAACAGAUUUCAAACUCUGGCUUAAACGAGUGUUUGUCAAUAAACUAUAUCCUACACUGUUUAACGUUGUUGAUUGGUGAAUGUGUUACUAGAUUUCAAAUCAUCAAGAUGUGAAACUAAUUGCUUUUAAUAUUAUUUUGACAUACAAAAAUAAAAAUAUAAAUGAACUAACUACA